rnacentral:lncRNA from 1 species
AUGUUGGAGAUGCUCGCCAGAACUGUAGUUCAACUUCAUGUAAGCUGUUGGUUGGAAUCCAGUAGACAAGGCAGGAUUUAUUUGUGGAAUUCCUGGCGGCGAGGGAAGCACAUGAAGGUCCUGGCAUCAAGAACCCAAACAAAUAGCAUGCUGGAAUGUAUUUAACAGGUGAUAAUGCAGAACACUGAAAAAUAGAUUGAGGGCAAUUAAAGAGAAAAAAGAGUGCUGUUUUGGCUUGGCAGGGAUGGAAAACUAAGCUCAAGGGGGCAGAUUAUUUAGGGAAAGUGUGUGGAAUUUUUCUCCGUAAAUCAUAGGUCACUCAGGGUCUCAAGUAACUUGUAUGAGGUAGCUACACACAAAUACAGCAUUUCUUGAGGAAGGAAAGAGAAGACAUGAAAAUGCCAUGCCAAGGGCAGCCCUCGUGUUUAAUACGUUAAAAACAGCAAGACAGAAAUCACAUUAUCAUUUAAAAAAUUGCUUGUCCCUCCACUUCCGGGAAUUGUCCUUGACCGAAGCUGAUGUGAUUUAUGCAAGAGAAUAAUUUUGGAAGGAAAAGUGAACUGAACUCAGCUGCUGGGCUGACCCAAUCCACUGCUCAAGAGGGCAAUUUCAUUAAGCCCUUUUUACCUCCAUUGCCUCACCUAUGAAAUGGGUUUAAUAAUAGGUCUUUCCAUCUGG